rnacentral:rRNA from 1 species
UACGGAGGGUGCAAGCGUUAUCCGGAUUCACUGGGUUUAAAGGGUGCGUAGGUGGGUCUGUAAGUCAGUGGUGAAAUCUCCGUGCUUAACACGGAAACUGCCAUUGAUACUAUGUUUCUUGAAUUUUCUGGAGGUUAGCGGAAUAUGUCAUGUAGCGGUGAAAUGCUUAGAUAUGACAUAGAACACCGAUUGCGAAGGCAGCUAACUACAGGGAUAUUGACACUGAGGCACGAAAGCGUGGGGAUCAAACAGG